UCCUAAAUGUGAUUUGGACCAUAUGCUU
rnacentral:piRNA from 1 species